CCAAUAGCGUAUAUUAACGUUGUUGCAGUUAAAAAGCUCGUCGUUGAAUUUUGGGUUUGGCCGAUUGGUCCGUUCUUGUAACGAGUACUGGUCGGUUGGGCCUCACCGCCUGGUGAUGCGUAAUGUCCUUUAUUGGGUGUUGCGAGUAGCCAGGACCUUUACCUUGAAAAAAUUAGAGUGUUUAAAGCAGGCUUAUGCCGGAAUACAUUAGCAUGGAAUAAUAGAAUAGGACGAUGAUUCUAUUUUGUUGGUUUCUAGGAGCAUCGUAAUGAUUAAUAGGGAUAGUUGGGGGCAUUAGUAUUCAAUUGUCAGAGGUGAAAUUCUUGGAUUUAUUGAAGACUAACUACUGCGAAAGCAUUUGCCAAGGAUGUUUUCAUUAAUCAAGAACGAAAGUUAGGGGAUCGAAGACGAUCAGAUACCGUCGUAGUCUUAACCAUAAACUAUGCCGACUAGGGAUCGGGCGAUGUUGUUUCAAUGACUCGCUCGGCACCUUAUG
rnacentral:rRNA from 1 species